GGAAGCCGCCGACAGGAGGAAGAGGAGACAAACUUGAGAAAGAAAGGGCUAAGGGGCAGGGGUCUUUCACUGCAAGGGUGCUUUCUAUCUCAUCUCAGCUUCAUUCAGGUCAGCCUUGCUAGAUCUCUGACUGUUACUAGCCCAAUUGUGAAGCAAGCUGUCCAAGAGGUAAGGAGUUCACUGAGGGCAUUCAGCUUACUAUCAAGAGUCAUCUCAGUUUACUAUCGAGAGUCAUCCGUUUGUCAGGGUGUCUGGUGGUGUCCAUGGUGGAGGAGAUCUCUUCACAGAUAACUGAUGGUCUCAAGGACCCCAAGGAUUCCCACCUAUAGUUCUGCCCAUGCAGGGGUAUAUUUCAUUUUCUCUGUUGUUUAGGAGAACAUUCCCUUUUCAUGCCUGAUGGACAACUUGAUGUUGAGAUCUGCGGCUGUGGUAUACCCACUGAGUUCCUGUAUCGUUUUCUUUGACUUCCAGGGCCCUUCUGGAUCCUAGGAGUCCACUGUACCAUCUGGCUUGAUAGGUCCCAGGUCAGAAACUCUGCUUCAAUAGCUUGUCCAUUCCUUGUUGGAGAGAUUAAAGGACUUCACCUGUACCUUUUCCAAUACAGACUGACAAAUAUUCCUAGGAACGUAGCAUAUGGAAAUUUUGGAUGCGAAGAGAAUGGUCGUUGCUGAGAAAAUAGUCUGAUCUGCUCCAGAAGGCUGCAUGCCAUGACUGGGAGGGGUGAUCUGCAAGAUGGCAUCUUCACAGGACUUCAGGCCCAGGGACUGACAUCAGGGGAUACCCAGGACAACCUCCCAGAGCCAGAACCAAGAUAGAGGUCCUCGCUUUCCUGACUUCUGGGCAUGCCAGGCUGCGUGGAUGGAGUGCUUCUCUUACCUCUUCUGGUCCUGGAGUAUCUCUGGCUGACUUCAAACUUGCUAUGUAACUGAGGAUUAACUGGAACUUCUGACCUUCCCAGUUCUACCUUCCAGUUCUGGAAUUGCUGGCACAUGCCCCCAUCCUGGGUUUGUGCAAUGCUGGGGACCAGCCCAGGACAUGCUAGGCAAGCACUUACCAACCGAGUUACAGACUUAGCCCCAGACCUUUCAGUUUUGAUGAGACCCCCGUUAACUUUUUCUUUCAUUGCCUGUGUAAAGCAUAAUGCCUUUUGAGUGUCCAGUAAGGUAUUGACCCUUUCAGAGUGUGAGUGGCGGGGGUCAGUGACCAAGGUGCCUCUUCUUUUCCCACUGUAAUAACUAGACAUGGAUAUGAGGAGUUCUGAUGACUGUGGGGGAGGACAUCUGACCUUCUGGUCUUAAGGAGGCUGUUUAAAUCCCAACAGAAGACAGACAUCCCAUGCUCACAUCAAUGACUUGCUUAUACCCCUGGACUGACCAUGAUGCAUGUACUCAACAAUAACAAGGAUGGGAAGGAAAUAUGGAAGUAUGGAUUCAGUUUUGUGAUGGGGAGGCAACUCUGACAUGAUGGCUAAUGGACAGUUUCAAGGCUCAGCUCAUGCUGUGGACGUACCUGUGUGCAUGUCCACACACGCUUACAGGUGUGUGUGCUGUUGUGUGAGAGUGUACACAGAGGCCAGAAACCAACAACUGGUGUCUUCCUUGGUUGUUUUCCACUGUAUAUUUUGAAACAGGGGUUCCCCCUGGAUCUAGGGCUUGACAUUUAGGUCAGACUUGCUGGCCAAUGAGCUCCAGGGAGCUUCCUGCAUUGUCUGAUGCUCUGAACAGAGUUGGCUAUUGUGAGACUUUAGUCUGUCGCAACCACUGGUUCCAUUCUCCCAGGUCUCAGUGCUCUAGAGAGAUGACACCACCACACUCAGAUUUUCCAAGAGUGCUGGGGAUCCAAAUCCAGGCCCUCAUGCUUGUGUGACAGGCACUUCAUUGACCGAGUGAUCUCCGCCCUUGAUUGCAGGACCCCAGUGAGGAAGAUUACUCGAUGCUUUCUGCCUUGGUUUUCUCAGAGACAAUGUGGAAGUUGGGUUGUUGAAGCAUUUUGUGACUUAAUGCACAUAAAGUUCUUGAAAUAGUGCUUGGCAUAUUGCAAGCUUCUGACAAAUGUUCUCAGCGGAUUAAUGAAUUCCAAUAUGCAAAGCAUGUACCUGCUGCAGCCAGCAUUAUUCCCAGCUCACGACAUUCAAAUGCAAGCUCCUAAAAGAAUUUUACAGAAACCAAGUACAGACCAAACAACAUAUUUCCAUGGGCCAGACUCAGCUCUGGGACUGCCAGUUUGUGAUUGAACAGAAACCACAGAACUUUGUCAAGCCUCCCAGACAGAGCUUCCUGCAGCUUUAAUUGGGACCUUGGAUUUCUGGUUUGGCUCCUCACACGGCUGAACUCACUCACUUAUUGGGGUGGGACGGCUGUGGAAUCACAAUGAUGAAGCACUGGGCACACUUGGAUAGGAGAAGAGUGGUAACUUCACAAAUUCUCUUCUUUUGCUAUUGAUGGUGGCUCAAGAUGUAUAGCACUUAUGUUUCCUGAAGCAAAUGUAGCUCUGAUUUGUUUUGCAUAUCUGAUGCAGCCCUUUCGUGCAUUAAUACAUCUCAUAUUUGAUCAUUAUGGGGAGAGAAAAAUGAGAAGGACUUUAGAGCUUUUUUUAUUCUGACUAUAAAAAUGAAAAAUACCUAUCACAAACAAUUCAGGAAAAGUAUGGAAGUGAAAAAAAUGAAAGAAAAAAUGUCUCUGAAUCUGUCAGCCAGAGAUAAAUAUGGCUCCCAUUCUGAUGAAUAGCCUCCUGGUUAUUUAUUUGUCCAUAUACCAGCAUCUAUCUGAAAAAGCAAGAAUGAACACCGCAUCUUCUCCAGAGCCUUUUGGAGGCCUUUGAAAUGCUACCAUGGCCCCAUGAGCAUUUCAUAAAAUUUUUUUUUAGCAUAUAGUAACCAUACAUAAAAUGAGUUUUGGGCUGGAGAGAUGGCCCAGUGGUUAACAGCACUGACUGCUCUUCCAGAGAACCUGGGUUCAAUUGCCAGCACCCAUAUGGCAGCCCACAACUGUCUGUAACUCCAGUUCCAGAGGAUCCGGCACCCUCACACAGACAUACAUGCAGGCAAAAUAACACCAAUGCACAUGAAAGAAAUAAAUCUUAAAAAUUAAAACAAAAGUUUAAGGAAAAAAAUGAGUUUCAUUUGACCCGUGCAUACACAUACACAAUGUAUUUUGAUCAUAUUACUGGUCCCCCUCACACUCUACUGAUCUCCUUUUCUCAACUACCCUCCCUUCUAUUUUCACGUCCUUGGAUUUUUUUUUUUCAACACACUCUUAUUUUAGAGUUUGGGGGUGUGUGCACCAUGGAGCACUCGUGGAGGUCAGAGAACAACUUACUGGAGUCAGUUUUCUCUUCGACCACAUGGGUUUCUAGGGCAGAACUUAAAUCAGUGCUUUUACCCACUGAGCCAUCUUGCUCCCUCUCCCUCUUUAAUGACACGAUGAAUUUCUUCAUGGCUGUUUACAGGAACAUGACUCCUUAGCAGUAGUUACACCACUCAAGAAAAAUCUCACCCCCUUCUUCAUCAAACAUGAACUUCUAAUAAAUCCUCAGGGAAGAAUGGGAUCCUGUCAGUCCCUUCAAUGACCAUCGCCCCUCCCGUCCUCUGUUCCCUCCCUCCCCCUCUCCCCUCCCUACUUCCCUUCUUUUUCUUUUCUUUUUUUUUCUUUUCAAGACAGGGUUUCUCUGUAGCUCUUUGGUUGUCCUGGAAUUCUCUUUGUAGACCAGGCAGGCCCUAAACUCACAAAGAUCCGCCUGCUUUUGCCUCCCGAGUGCUGGGAUUAAAGGUGUGCGCCACCAUGCCCGGCUCAGCAUUUUCUAGAUUGAUUUAUUGAAGUGAUGAAAAGACCAUUUGCCCCCCUCCUCACUAUUUAUAUGUCUCUGUAUAGACUGCUGCCAGGUUUAUUACCAAUUUAUUUUAAAAAUUCCCUAACUUCUGUCUUUUUUUCUUAUUUUGUCUCGUCUUUUUUUUUAAAUUAAAAGUUUCACUACUAUUAUUUUACUUUAUGAGAAUGACUACGGGUAUUUUGCCUACAUAUAUGUCUGAGCACUGCAGCCCUUGGAGGCCAGAAGUAUGCAACUGGGGUUUCAGACAGUUGUGAGCAGCUAUGUAGAUGCUGGGGAUUGAAUCCAGGUCCUCUAGAAGAGCAGCCAGUGCUUUUAACCUCUGGGCCAUCUCUGCAGCUUCCUUCUUAUUUCCAUUAGGUCUUAGUUGUUCUUUUUCUAAGUUUUUUAUUAAACGUUUAGUCAUAUGUUGAAACAACCUAAAUGGAAUCCCGCUUUCUGACCCUG
rnacentral:lncRNA from 1 species